GACGAACGCUGGCGGCGUGCUUAACACAUGCAAGUCGAACGCUGAAGCUCGGUGCUUGCACUGGGUGGAUGAGUGGCGAACGGGUGAGUAAUACGUGAGUAACCUGCCCUUGACUCUGGGAUAAGCCUGGGAAACUGGGUCUAAUACUGGAUACGACAUGUCACCGCAUGGUGGUGUGUGGAAAGGGUUUUACUGGUUUUGGAUGGGCUCACGGCCUAUCAGCUUGUUGGUGGGGUAAUGGCUCACCAAGGCGACGACGGGUAGCCGGCCUGAGAGGGUGACCGGCCACACUGGGACUGAGACACGGCCCAGACUCCUACGGGAGGCAGCAGUGGGGAAUAUUGCACAAUGGGCGGAAGCCUGAUGCAGCGACGCCGCGUGAGGGAUGACGGCCUUCGGGUUGUAAACCUCUUUCAGCACGGAAGAAGCGAAAGUGACGGUACGUGCAGAAGAAGCGCCGGCUAACUACGUG
rnacentral:rRNA from 1 species